AACUUCAUGGUUACUCUUGGAAACAAUCACUAAUACUGCACUAUUUCAAAACAUCACAGGAAUGAAGUUUUCCAUAAAGAACAAGCUAUGUUUUCUUCCAUACAGCUGCUAUAUUUACGCCAGUUAAAGCAAUAAGCCUCACUGAUGGGGAAUAUAGUUCAAUAUAAAAGGCCAAGGCCUACCUGCGUGGGAGCUAUUCUGUUCUCUGAGCGUUUUCCCUUGGAGGCCCUCCAGGCUGAAGAGUGCUUGCUGAGAUUGUACAUCCACACACUUCCCUUUUCAUCGCCACAGAACACAUACUCUGCUGCUGCAAGAGCAAAGGAACCAGUGCAGGGUUGAGAUUUCUGAUGGCCAAGACCAAAAACUUCUCACCCCUCUGCUGGUGGCACAGAGCCCAGUAUAAUGUCACCUUCCAGAUGAAAUGUAUCCCAUUCUUAAUUGCUGCAGAGUGUUAAGUAAACCAGCCUUACAAAAUUCAACUCUAAUCAUUUGUUGUAUCAUACUAAGGAGGUGCUGAGUGGACUUUGGGCUCAAGCUUGUGUGUUUUUAUGUCUAUUUUGGCUGAAAUAAAGUCGUUAACAUUA